rnacentral:lncRNA from 1 species
UAGCUUCACCACUUACCAUGUUGGAAUUUGUUGAUUUUUUUGUGAGGAAUAUAGAUAAUCUUUCACGAUCAUGAACAUGCCCAUCAGCAGUGUAAUACAGCUGCUUAUUGUGAGGGCUGUCAAUGAAGAGCUGAUGUGUUGUGUUGAGUUGCACAGUGGCAUGGCAGUGCUCUAAUCCUGAUCUAGGUGUCUGGAUGAUUUAGGAUGCAUCAAAACCUUAAGAUCUGCUACUUUGUUUGGUUUUAAGGGAAAAAAACGAAGAAGAACAAGAACAAAUACCUUAAGCUGAUUUAUCAGCCAACAAAACUCUCUUCAGCU